GACGAACGCUGGCGGCGUGCCUAAUACAUGCCAGUCGAGCGAACAGAUGCGGAGCUUGCUCCUCUGACGUUAGCGGCGGACGGGUGAGUAACACGUGUAUACCCUACCUAUAAGACUGGGAUCACUUCGGGAAACCGGCUCUAAUACCGGAUAAUAUAUUGAUCCGCAUUGUUCAAUAGAGAAAUACGGCUUUGCUGUCACGUCUCGAUGGUUCCCCGCUGCAUGAGAUAGUUGGUAAGGUAACGGCCUACCAAGGCAACGAGGCGUAACCGACCUGAGAGGGUGAUCGGCCACACUGGAACGGGGCCACGGACCAGAGGCCUACGAGAGGCAGCAGUAGGGAAUCGGCCGCAAUGGGCGAAAGCAUGACGGAGCAACGCGGCGUGAGUGAUGAAGGUGUUCGGAGCGUAAAACUCGGUUAUUAGGGAAGAACAAAUGUGGAAGUAACUGUGCACGGCUUGACGGUACCGGAUAAGAAAGCCACGGCUAACUACGUG
rnacentral:rRNA from 1 species